rnacentral:rRNA from 1 species
CCUACGGGAGGCUGCAGUAGGGAAUAUUGCUCAAUGGGGGAAACCCUGACGCAGCAACGCCGCGUGGAGGAUGAAGGUUCUCGGAUUGUAAACUCCUUUUGUUAGAGAAGAUAAUGUCGGUAUCUAACGAAUAAGCACCGGCUAACUCCGUGCCAGCAGCCGCGGUAAUACGGAGGGUGCAAGCGUUACUCGGAAGCACUGGGCGUAAAGAGCGCGUAGGCGGGAUAGCAAGUCAGAUGUGAAAUCCUAUGGCUUAACCAUAGAACUGCAUUUGAAACUGUUAUUCUGGAGUAUGGGAGAGGUAGGUGGAAUUCUUGGUGUAGGGGUGAAAUCCGUAGAGAUCAGGAGGAAUACUCGUUGCGAAGGCGACCUGCUGGAACAUAACUGACGCUGAGGCGCGAAAGCGUGGGGAGCAAACAGGAUUAGAUACCCUUGUAGUC